UGGAAGCCAAGUUUUUCUUCCCCUUUUUCCGGAAGGGAUAGCUUUGGUAAAUCCUCCUGUCAUGAACAUUUUUAGAACCUGCCAAGGAAGGGUAUGAAGAAUUUUGCAGUGCCUUUUACAAGCUGUGCUAAAUCCAGUGUCCAUGCCACAUUCCUUUUCAUUGAUAUAAAGGCAACUCGAAGAUGGGAUACUAUUGACAAGGGGUCACAAGUACCCUCCACUCAUUUCUCUAUGCGGCCAUCCCAUGAACAGUCACUGCACAAGAACUCCAUUGGCUCUGUUGGAUGCCAUGCUAAGAACAGGAUGGACACCAAAGAGUAAAGCUCAACAGAUCCAGAUCCAAAGUAGCAAACAAGCCAGGGGUGGAGACUUCAAAUCCUAAACAACGCUGGGAAGUCCAAGAUCAAGGAAGACUUCAUGUCUGAUGAGGGCCUGCUCUCUGGCUCAUAGAUGGUGCCUUCUUGCUGCAUCUGCAUGGUAAAAGGGGAGGCUGCAAGGGUAUGCAGACACUUGAGGGACCUCUUGUGUUAGAAAAUGCAGGAAAUGUUUGGCUCUAAGACUAGUUUUACUGGCAAAGAGCAAGUUGAGACACAGCUGACUACAUCCAGUGGGGGAACAAAAAAAAAAAAAUGUCUGGUAGGCCAGCAUCACCCAGACCAGGUUGGAUCUUGAUCAGUUUCUCAGGGUCAUUGUUCAACU